ensembl:lncRNA
AGGAACAUAGGAGAGAGAGAAGAGGGAAAAGGGAGUAAAUAGAGAAAAGGAUAGAAGAGAUGUGAGGGGUAAAUAUAGAAGAGGAGAGGGGGAUGUGAGGGGUAAAUAUAGAAGAGGGUAGAGGGAUGUGAGGGGUAAAUAUAGAAGAGAAUAGAGGGAUGUGAGGGGUAAAUAUAGAAGAGGAGAGAGGGAUGUGAGGGGUAAAUAUAGAAGAGAAUAGAGGGAUGUGAGGGGUAAGUAUAGAAGAGGAGAGAAGGAUGUGAGGGUUAAAUAUAGAAGAGGGGAGAGGGAAGUGAGGGGUAAAUAUAGAAGAGGGUAGAGGGAUGUGAGGGGUAAAUAUAGAAGAGGAGAGGGAUGUGAGGGGUAAAUAUAGAAGAGGGGAGAGGGAUGUGAGGUGUAAAUAUAGAAGAGGCGAGAGGGAUGUGAGGGGUAAAUAUAGAAGAAGAGAGAGGGAUGUGAGGGGUAAAUAUAGAAGAAGAGAGAGGG